CAGCCGCCACGGGAACACGUAGGGUGCAAGCGUUAAUCGGAAUUACUGGGCGUAAAGCGUGCGUAGGCGGUUUGUUAAGUCUGUUGUGAAAUCCCCGGGCUCAACCUGGGAAUGGCAAUGGAUACUGGCAAGCUAGAGUGUGUCAGAGGAUGGUGGAAUUCCCGGUGUAGCGGUGAAAUGCGUAGAGAUCGGGAGGAACAUCAGUGGCGAAGGCGGCCAUCUGGGACAACACUGACGCUGAGGCACGAAAGCGUGGGGAGCAAACAGGAUUAGAUACCCGCGUAGUCCCUGUCUCUUAUAC
rnacentral:rRNA from 1 species